rnacentral:rRNA from 1 species
UACGUAGGGGGCAAGCGUUGUCCGGAUUUAUUGGGCGUAAAGAGCGUGUAGGCGGCCAGAUAGGUCCGUUGUGAAAACUGGAGGCUUAACCUCCAGCUGUCGAUGGAAACCAUCUGGCUAGAGUCCGGAAGGGGCGAGUGGAAUUCCUGGUGUAGCGGUGGAAUGCGCAGAUAUCAGGAGGAACACCAAUAGCGAAGGCAGCUCGCUGGGACGGUAUUGACGCUAAGGCGCGAAAGCGUGGGGAGCAAACAGG